rnacentral:rRNA from 1 species
AGCGAACGCUGGCGGCAGGCCUAACACAUGCAAGUCGAACGAACCUUUCGGGGUUAGUGGCGGACGGGUGAGUAACACGUGGGAACGUGCCUUUAGGUUCGGAAUAACUCAGGGAAACUUGUGCUAAUACCGAAUGUGCCCUUCGGGGGAAAGAUUCAUCGCCUUUAGAGCGGCCCGCGUCUGUUUAGCUAGUUGGUUGAGGUAAUGGCUCACCAAGGCGACGAUCAGUAGCUGGUCUGAGAGGAUGAUCAGCCACAUUGGGACUGAGACACGGCCCAAACUCCUGCGGGAGGCAGCAGUGGGGAAUCUUGCGCAAUGGGCGAAAGCCUGACGCAGCCAUGCCGCGUGAAUGAUGAAGGUCUUAGGAUUGUAAAAUUCUUUCACCGGGGACGAUAAUGACGGUACCCGGAGAAGAAGCCCCGGCUAACUUCGUG